rnacentral:lncRNA from 9 species
GUGGUCUUGGAACAGCGCGUUCCCACCGCACCUCUGCCUGCAGCAGCCAGCCUGUGUCCUGGCUCUUCAGGUCCAGUUGGGUCACGAGGCUCUAAACUCAGCUCCUGGCUGUCCCAAAGCAGCACCAGCAUGCCUGGUCCCCAGUCUCCAAGAGCACCCCCAAGGGAGAGCUGGGCCCGUGUCCCUGCUCCCGAGAGCGUGCUCGGGAGCCUGGCUCAGCACGGCCCCUCCGCACCCACCGCGGGACUGGGCAAGAUUUUCCGGAGGGCGUGGCCACGCGCCAGGUAGGUGAAGACCCCCCCCCGGCCCCGCCCCGCAGCAUCAGCCCAGCGCCGCCCAGGUCUCUUCCCAUUUCAUUGCCCACCGCUCGCGGAUCCGUGUCUCCAGCGCACCUUCCCUCGAGCAGCCCAGCAGGUGGUGCCCAGAUGAGCCGAGCAGAGAGAGCCUCAGCUUACUCCCGGCCCGGGCGCCACCCCGCAAAGCGGCAGGCCGCUCAAGGGCUAGCGCCAGGGGUUUUGGCAUCCUGUCGGUGCGCCAACACAACAACCAGAGGGCAGGAAAACAGUUCACACAGUGAAGAGUGGUCAAUCUAAGUCUGAUGUUUAGGUUUCAUCUUGGCUGACUUGGCCCGCAAGGAUGAGCACAGGGUCCCUUCCUGGGGGUUCGCUCGCGACAGGAGGUACGGGGGCUGAACAAAAGUCUGG